rfam:Pongo abelii chromosome 2b.
CCUCAGGAUUUUUUAAAAUCCCCCAAUACCUUCCAAUACAAAGUC